CCUGCCCACUGUAAUUUUAUAAAGAGCUGCGGUAUCUUAACUGCACUAAGGUAGCAUAAUUAAUUGUCUUUUGAAUGGUGACUUGUUUGAAUGGCUUAAUGAGAAAAAAGACUUUUUUUAGUUAUUUUGAAAUUAUAUUUUAAGGUUAAAAUACCUAAUUAUAAAAAAAAGACGAGAAGACCCUGUUGAGUUUUACGGUUAUUCAAAAAUUUACCGUUAAAAUGGGAAAUUUAGUUUUUUUUUAAAACUCUUGUUGGAUCCUUAAUAAGUAAUAAUAUUAGGAAAUAGGAUAAAAUUACCACAGGGAUAACAGGAUAAUAUUUACUGAGAGUUCUAAUCGAAGUAAAUGGUUAUUACCUCGAUGUUGAAUCGAAGUUUUCUUUUUGGCGGAGAAGCUAAAAAAGUAAGUCUGUUCGACUUUUAAAACUUCACGUGAUUUGAGUUAAAAACC
rnacentral:rRNA from 1 species